CCUACGGGUGGCAGCAGUGGGGAAUAUUGCACAAUGGGGGAAACCCUGAUGCAGCGACGCCGCGUGAGUGAAGAAGUAAUUCGUUAUGUAAAGCUCUAUCAGCAGGGAAGAAAAUGACGGUACCUGAGUAAGAAGCCCCGGCUAACUACGUGCCAGCAGCCGCGGUAAUACGUAGGGGGCAAGCGUUAUCCGGAUUUACUGGGUGUAAAGGGAGCGUAGACGGGAUUGCAAGUCAGUUGUGAAAGUGUGUGGCUCAACCGUAGAAUUGCAAUGGAUACUGUCAGUCUGGAGUACAGGUGAGGUAGGUGGAAUUCGUGGUGUAGCGGUGAAAUGCGUAGAUAUCAGGAGGAACACCGGUGGCGAAGGCGGCUUACUAGACUGUAACUGACGUUGAUGCUCGAAAGCGUGGGGAGCAAACAGGAUUAGAUACCCGAGUAGUC
rnacentral:rRNA from 1 species